UUUAAUGCAGGGGAGAAAGAGUUCAUGCAUUUUACUGUUGUCCAUCCCAUACGUAACUAAACGUAAAUUUAAGUUCAUUAGUUUUAAAUAUUAUUUGUCAGGCUUAAUCGAAUUUCCGUUUUGCUUCACAGUCUAUAAACUCCCAGGGUCAUCGCAGCAUGUGUAACAGCAGCGUCUCCUGCAGUGCCAUACCUUACUGAGGAUUCUCAAAAAAGUGAUUCUGAGAGUUGUGACCCCUAUACCAUGAGGAAGAGCUUUGAUUACACCUGAAAACCUGGUACUGUGUCUUGGAAUCUAACAGGAUAAAAAAGAGCAAACUAUAGGGCACUUCAUUAAUCUCCAAAUACCAGGGUUCCUGCCCAUGCAGCAUCAGCUGAAGAGCCCAAGGAGGCACAGAAAUUGAGGAAAACUAUAUUCUUUGCUCUGCCACUGACCCUGGUCAUAAGAAUGAGACAGCCCCAGAGAGCAUGAAAAUCUCCAUACAUGAUCUCAUCCAGCGAUAGUGACUUGAAUGUUUAUGGAUGUGUUUUUAGCAUGGACACACCCAUUCUCGUUUGCAGCAGUCUCUCCAAUCUCAAUUAUUCACACCCAGUGUUUCUGCAUCAAUUUUGUUUCCUUCCUGGACACAGUAAGUCUUACAGCCAUUGACUCCUGUACCAGAUUCUGGCCUUCAGGGCAUAUGGCAUUUGGCAGCUCCUAAGGAACAGCUGCCCCUCAACAGUGCCAGGGAAUGUGGCAUAUAUGGUGAAAACAAGACACUGAAGCCAUGCUGCUCCCAAACAUGUUGUAGGUUGUUACAAUACCACCCUUCUCAAGGUGAUGUCUGGACCCUCGAAUAACUGAAAUCUAGACAAAAUCAGGCCCACAAAGCCCUGAAUUCUCACCCAAGCUUUUGUCAGCAAUGGAAAUUAACACCAAGAUUGGACUGAGAACUGUUCUCUGUCAACCUGUUCUAUUUGAGGCACACAGUAGGGAGCCCACCACAAACAGUUUACCUCUUCAGUUUGGCAGAGUCUAACGGUUUCUAAACCACUCCAGACACUAAAAAGAACCUCAGAGAUUAAAGGUGGCUUAAAUAAUAAGGUAUUUAUUACCACACAAACCAGCGCAACAUGAGUCAAGUAGUUAUCCAGCCUGGGUGACUUGGAGGCUGGAAAAAUUCAUCACAAGUAUCACAUGAGACCAACAAUGUCCAUGAAUAAAGUAAACCUUUUCUGCUACCAGAGCACAGCUUAGAUCAUCUUGGCUAAAGGUGGAUCAUGUCCAUACCUUUUCCGGUCAGAGGUAAGCAAAUGAGGACCACCAUUUAAUUCAGAUUUCUUAUAAUUUCCUCCAGGGAUUGAAGAGAGCAUGAAGUUCUGCCUCCCCUAAAAAUAUUAGGGUAACCUGGUUGAGUUGAGAUGGUUUCAGCCACAGGCACUAACAAAUUUGGCAAGGAACCUGAGCAGGUCUGAAAGUGCAACAUAGCUUCUGAAAGCUUUCCCUGCACCUGGCAUUCAUAAAAUACUCCCCAGUAUUAAUGUCCAGAUAUAUGUGGUUUGACACAUGGUUGAUGUCUCCCUCUCUAAAGGCAGACACAGAGCUCCUCCCCAUGAGUUCUGUUGUGUUGGACGCACUCCUACAGCCUUCCGGCAGUGUGAACUUUCUGGUGCCUAAUGAGAUGGGAGCUUAAGCUAUACGAUUUCCCACAUUCAUUGCAUUCAUAUGGCCUUUCUCCAGUGUGAACUUUUUGGUGCCGAACAAGGUGGGAGGUUCUGAUGAAAUCUUUCCCACAUUUGCUGCACACAAAAGGCCUUUCACCUGUGUGAACUCUCUGGUGUGCAAUAAAGUCAGAGCUUCGACUAAAGAAUUUCCCACAUUCAGUGCACUCAAAAGGCCUUGCCUCCGUAUGAAUUCUCUGGUGUUUAAUAAGGGUAUAUUUGUGGCCAAAGGAUUUCCCACAUUCACUGCAAACAUAAGGAUUUUCUCCAGUGUGGAUACUCUCAUGCUGAACAAGUGUGGAUUUGUGUCUGAAGACUUUCCCACAAUCGUGGCACUUAUAAGGCCUUGCUCCAUUGUGAACUCUCUGGUGUACAAUUAGGUUGGAGUGAUGGCUGAAGUAUUUGCCACAUUCGCCACACUUAUAAGGCAUUUCUCCAGUGUGAAUUCUUUUGUGCUGAGUAAGGUUGUCCUUGCGGCUAAAGGCUUUUCCACAUUCACUGCACUCAUAAGGCCUUUCUCCUGUGUGGAUUCUCUGGUGCUGGACAAGUGUGGCUUUGCGGCUGAAUGCUUUCCCACAUUCAUUGCACUCAUAAGGCUUUUCUCCAGUAUGGAUUCUCUGGUGCUGGACAAGUGUA